AUAAGAUAUCGACAUUUCGUAAACAUUCGAUAUACAAUUAAACCAUAAUUGGUCCGUCUUGUUUCUUUGUCACCCAGAAACUUUACAACUGUGUUGUGAGCGGAUUUUCAGCGCUUAUAUGUUUUUAAACUUGUCUUAAAAUUUUGUGGUACUUCUACGUUUCUGCGCUUUUGUAAAUGUAGAUCGUAUGUUUCGUCAUUUGAUUAAAGCGUUUGAAGACUUUGCAGCGCGCUGACACCAAUCGGCCACCGUAGCUUAGCAACCGAAUCAUAACAAUUCUUUUCCGUUUAGAGUUUUCAUUUGAACAUUUAAAGCAGCUCAGACUUGCAGUUUAUCAGCAAGAGAGAAGACGCGAAAGAUGUCCAUCGUGAAAACCACCGUGAAUCUCCAGAGGAUUGACUGGCUGCUGCCGAAAGGUGCAGUCAGUGUGCGGAUCGCCCCGGAAUACAUCCCCGGUCCAGUUGGCCGAGGACAAACCAGUUCCAGUGAUGCUGGCCGUCGGAAGAAGUGCCGCACCAGGCCACCGGCAGCCAGCUCCCUGACCACGUCUGCCUCUCCUGGAUCUGCUGCCAUCCCGGUGGCAACCAGCAGGGGUCAGCAGGGCACAGGCCGCCGUAGAAAUACGGCGGGAGGCCGGUCAGGGCGAAGAAGGAGGUAUGACCAACAGAAGGGGUUAGAGCCUAAGCCCAGCUCACCAACCUUCUCCUCCUCUUCAUUUUUAUUUCCGUCUUCAGCCCCCUCCCCUUUUGUUUCAUCCCCAUUUCUUUUUAUGGGCUCCUCUGUUUUAUCCCCACACUUAGUCACACCUGUAAGCCCAGCUCCACAUCCAUAUUCAGCUCCAGGCCUGGUUCAUCUGACCCCUCUGCUUCAGGCUCCAGCACAGGCUGUAGCCGCCUCAUCUCACCUGGAAAAAUUCUAUUGGUUGUAUAACUAUUAUGUAACCAAGUACUCUAAAAUGACCUAUGACGCCAAGUGCUUUACUGAGUACUGGUGUCAGGAGUUUUGGAACAGACAUUUAAAUGAAAUUAACUUAGCGAAACAGGGGAAGAAUGAGGAUAAUGAGGGUACUCAUUCAUCCAAGAGGCGUAGGAUUGAUGAAGAUGAGUUCAUCUUUCCUAUUGAUGCACUGGAGCAGCUAAGUACCAUGCCCAGGGCUCAGGAGAUGGGUGUGGAAAUGGGCUAUCAGUCAGAUGCACAUAGCUACAUUUCCCUGUAGAUUCAGCACAUAAUUACACGAGACUUGUCAUACGUACUUAGGAUAAGAUAAAAUUAGGAUAUGUUACCAUGUAGUUCUAUAGCAUAAGGUACUAUAGGAUAAGCUUAAGAUAGGAUAAGGUUAAGAUAGGACAAGUUAAGAUAGUCUUAACUUGUAUGCCAUUUUAUGUUUUACAAAGACAUGAUAAAUUACCAUAAGUUUAGGAUAAGAUUAUAUGAGAUAACAUAGUAUAAGAAUAAGAUAGGAUUGCAUAGCAUAAGAUAAGAAAGAUAGGAUAAGAUAACAUAGAAUAAAAUUAAGAUAGGAUAGGUUACGGUAAGCUUAAGAUUGUAUAACAUAGGAUUAGAUUAAUUAUAAAUAAAGCAGUCCUCCUUAGAGGGGGGGUGGUGGAGGGAAUAUUUAAGAAAUAAAAAUAGGAUCAGUUAACAUAAGGUAAAGAUAAGAUUGUAUAACAUAGGAUUAGAUUAAUUAUAAAUAAAGCAGUCCUCCUUAGAGGGGGGGUGGUGGAGGGAAUAUUUAAGAAAUAAAAAUAGGAUCAGUUAACAUAAGGUUAAGAUAAGAUUGUAUAACAUAGGAUUAGAUUAAUUGUAAAUAAAGCAGUCCUCC